GUCAAGAUAACUACGACUCUGCAAAGCGGCAUGAGAUAAAUCUCAAAAUUUUGUGAGACAAAAAUAGGUUUAUCCAAGCUUUUCUCAGCUCAACAUGGAAGUGAUGGAACAACCUCAAGAACCUCUUGAACCAACCAACUCUGUUGUUGUGUAUGAGAAUGAAGAGAAAAGGCUUAAACACUUGGAUUUUGUGGAAGCAACGGUGGAAAACAUUGUUGUUUUUCUAAAAAAGGUAUAUCAACUGAGCAAGUAGCAUAGUGGUCCGUUCAAGGUACGAGUCGAGGCCAUCGAAGAAUUCGUGUUGAGAAUCGUUGGACCUGUCUGUGACAAGUUCCACCAUGUUCCCUUACAGCUUCUUGAAUUCCUCGACCGCAAGGUGGACGAGUUCAUCCACGAGAUAGACUGGAGACAGGAGUCCUUACCAAAACUAAUGACACACGUGACAAAGAAAGCUGCAGAGGUGACAAGGGAGCUAGCCAUGGAGAUCCAAGCAACCGGCCUGCUCGAUGCAACAGCUAACGCUGCAAAGGAAGCAUAUUUGACUUACAAGCCAGUGGCCAAAGACAUGAUCAUCAGGUAUGAACCAGUAGCUGAGGAAUAUGCAGUUUGGGCAUGGCAGCUGUGUAAACAAGUUUCAGUCCUCGCGCAAGUUAGCCAGUUAAUGGUUCCAACCGCGGCAUUUUGGGCUGAAAGGUACAACACAGUGGUGGACUUUACAGCAGAAAGUGGGUUACCAAUGGCUCAUUACUUACCUUUGAUCCCUCUUGAGAAGAUUGCUAAAGUUUUUGCUGAGGCUGAUGAAAAUGGGUUUUGAUAUGUUCUGUAGUUUGUGUUGAGUGUUGUCAUUGUGUUAGAAUUUUUUUUCUGGAUAAUUUGGGAUACAUUUUCUUGAUGGUGUAUGAAGUUGUGAACCACCUUUUUAAUUGGCAAUCAAAUUAACUGCUACUCUCUCUAUUUUGUAUCAAUUAAUCACUUUUAUGUUAUAUUACUCAGAUUCUUCAUUUCACUUCAA